rnacentral:rRNA from 1 species
ACCCGUCUUGAAACACGGACCAAGGAGUUCAGCAUAUGCGCGAGUCAUUGGGUGGUAAACCUAAAGGCGUAAUGAAAGUAAAGAUCGCUUUAAGCGGUUGAUAUGGGAUCCGCGUUGUUUCAUAGCUUCGCGGCGCACCAUAGCCCCGUCCCCGUUGCUUGCAAUAGGGCGGAGGUAGAGCGCAUACGCUGAGACCGGAAAGAUGGUGAACUAUGCCCGAGCAGGAUGAAGCCAGAGGAAACUCUGGUGGAAGUCCGAAGCGGUCUGACGUGC